GCCCGGGUAGCUCAGAGGUAGAGCAGCGGCCUUAUAAGCCGAUCCUCACGCACCGUGAGGCUUCCGCCAGAUAAGCGGCAGGUCGCGGGUUCGAGUCCCGCUCCGGGCACCA
rnacentral:tRNA from 1 species